rnacentral:misc_RNA from 1 species
UAAAGUGCGAUAUUUAGUGCGAUUUGCAUGAAUCUGUGAGUCAUCGAGUUUUUGAACGCAACUUGCGCCCGUCAUUGGGCAUGUCCUUUUGAGUACCGACCAACAUAAUGUUGACUAAUGCCUAUGGCUUGGUCUAAACGAAGAUUACGCUCUUGUAAGAGGUGGUGUCAAGUUGACUAGAUGUCUUCGGUUGGGGGUGGGGGUAAGAGGGAUAGCUAACUUUUCAAGCUGGCUAACCCAACGACCCAAACCCUAAUGACCUAAAGACGCCUAACUCAUCAACUACCCUCCUUGAACAAUCUAAUCCCGGUCUCAGAGUGGCAAGAUUACCCGCUGAACUUAA